ACGUUCGCCAUCAGCUGCCGAGAUCUCUCGCCGCUAACCAUUCUGCAAGAUGUCAGAGCCGGAGGACAAGUGGGUACCGAAGCACCGUACUAGCAGCCGCCCGUGGUUGCUGGGACCACCCGGCGUGACGCCAGAGAAGCACUCCUGCCUACACGACGACUAUCCUCCGCCCGUGACGAUGCGGCCGAGCGUCAAAGGGCGACAGGCGCAGCUGCUGGAGGCGUUCCUGUGGCAGCAGGCGCUGGAGGAGGCAGCCGCCCGGAUGACGCGGUCGCAGC